CGGGGGGAGCAAGCGUUGUUCGGAUUUACUGGGCGUAAAGGGCGCGUAGGCGGCCACCGCAAGUCGAUUGUGAAAUCUCCGGGCUUAACUCGGAAAGGUCAACCGAUACUGCGGGGCUAGAGUGCAGAAGGGGCAACUGGAAUUCUCGGUGUAGCGGUGAAAUGCGUAGAUAUCGAGAGGAACACCUGCGGCGAAGGCGGGUUGCUGGGCUGACACUGACGCUGAGGCGCGAAAGCUAGGGGAGCGAACGGGAUUAGAUACCCCGGUAGUCCUAGCCUUAAACGAUGGAUGCUUGGUGUCUGGGGUUUUAUAGUCCCCGGGUGCCGUCGCUAACGCUUUAAGCAUCCCGCCUGGGGAGUACGGUCGCAAGACUG
rnacentral:rRNA from 1 species